UACAGUGGGUACCGGGGUUGUAUAUGGUGAGUGUGGUGCAGCCUCAGUACAGUGGGUACCGGGGAGUCUAUGGGUGAGUGUGAGUGCAGCCUCAGUACAGUGGUACCGGGGAGUCUGUGGGUGAGUGUGAGUGCGGCCUCAGUACAGUGGGUACCGGGGAGUCUGUGGGUGAGUGUGAGUGUAGCCUCAGUACAGUGGGUACCGGGGAAGUCUAUGGGUGAGUGUGAGUGCAGCCUCAUACAGUGGGUUACCCGGGGAGUAU